rnacentral:lncRNA from 1 species
CCGCGAAGAAAAGUCAGCACAGAGACAAAAGAUCUCUCAGCAAGGCCAUCUUUACUUUUUGCAGAAAUGGCGCUCAAUCGCAGAUGGAACAAUGGUGAGAGCACACCUGAACAAAGGAAAAGCAGACGUAUUUAUCCCUGACGCAUUUGAGUUGUACUUACUGCUAUGUCCUGCAUCCAUUGGCUGGAGCGGGACCUCACAAUCUUAAACUGAUACCCGAUUUGCUAAUAACCUGAAACUUUCCUAAAUAAGGGCCUCAUCCCACCCACUGAAGGCCUGCAUAGAACAAAAUGGCUGAGUGGUGUCAGGGCUCUGAGCCCAAGCCUGCACGUAUACAUCCAGAUGGCCUGAAGCAACUGAAGAACCACAAAAGAAGUGAAAAUAGACAGUUGCUGCCUUAACUGAUGACAUUCCACCAUGGUGAUUUGUUCCUGCCCCACCCUAACUAAUCAAUUGACCUUGUGAAAUUCCUUCUCCUGGUCAAUGAGUAUCAGAAGCUCCCCACCGAGCACUUUGUAACCCCCCCGCCCCUGCCCACAAAAGAAAAACCCCCUUUAACUGUAAUUUUCCACUACCUACCCAAAUCCUAUAAAACUGCCCCACCCCUAUCUCCCUUUGCUGACUCCUUUUUCGGACCCAGUCUGCCUGGACCCAGGUGAUUAAAAAGCUU